GGACCUUAAGCUGACUGGUGACGCGGCGGCCUCAUAAGCCGAGGGUACUAGGUUCGAAUCCUAGAGGGUCCA
rnacentral:tRNA from 1 species